UCUAGCCCUAAAUCCCUCACGAUGACCAAAAUACUCAUCUCCCUUCCAACGAUGCUAGUUUUCAUCAACUCCAUAGCUGUGUCUCGCGUGCUCAGCGUUACCCUCAUUCAUCUCACCUUGUCCAUUAUAGUGCCUAAACCAGUCUUUCUCCCGCUACACCAGAGCCUUUCUCGACCAUAACAGAAUAUCACCUGAGAUACCCUUCUCCUUCUCAUGCCAUGCCUUCAGACUUCAACCUCUACUUCUUCGUUUCAUGCCUUUUGAUAAAAUCUGUUCUUCUUUUUCGCUUGCCUCUCUUUGAUAUUUAGCUCAUUCUUCUAGCCAUUCAUCAUGUCGCCAGUUGUCUCUCGCCUUUAGUUCUCAUACGCUCACCCCUUGCAGUCGCAACCUUCAUCCCAUAGAACCGAUGAACCGAAAUAGGGUUGUUGAUGUUACUAAAUGAAUCUGGUUGCUUUUUUAUUGAUGCUUCAUCUCGCCUUACACUGCGAUCUGAGGCGAACUCCCACACUACAUGCUCGUAGCCUUCAUCUCACAUCCUCUGUGACGUGGGUAUACAGUUUGGGUUUGAAUGUGAGUUUGUUGGGUUUGCGAUAUGGGUCUACUCGUUUCUCCCAGUAGAUGUAGCCAAAUGGAUCACAUGUGGAG
rnacentral:misc_RNA from 1 species